AGAGUUUGAUCAUGGCUCAGGACGAACGCUGGCGGCACGCUUAACACAUGCAAGUCGAACGAGAGAAGAGGAGCUUGCUUUUCUGAUCUAGUGGCGGACGGGUGAGUAACACGUGAGCAAUCUGCCUUUCAGAGGGGGAUACCGAUUGGAAACGAUCGUUAAUACCGCAUAACAUAAUUGAACCGCAUGAUUUGAUUAUCAAAGAUUUAUCGCUGAAAGAUGAGCUCGCGUCUGAUUAGCUAGUUGGUAAGGUAACGGCUUACCAAGGCGACGAUCAGUAGCCGGACUGAGAGGUUGAUCGGCCACAUUGGGACUGAGACACGGCCCAGACUCCUACGGGAGGCAGCAGUGGGGAAUAUUGCACAAUGGAGGAAACUCUGAUGCAGCGAUGCCGCGUGAGGGAAGAAGGUUUUAGGAUUGUAAACCUCUGUCUUCAGGGACGAAAAAAGACGGUACCUGAGGAGGAAGCUCCGGCUAACUACGUGCCAGCAGCCGCGGUAAUACGUAGGGAGCGAGCGUUGUCCGGAAUUACUGGGUGUAAAGGGAGCGUAGGCGGGAUCGCAAGUCAGAUGUGAAAACUAUGGGCUUAACCCACAAACUGCAUUUGAAACUGUGGUUCUUGAGUGAAGUAGAGGUAAGCGGAAUUCCUAGUGUAGCGGUGAAAUGCGUAGAUAUUAGGAGGAACAUCAGUGGCGAAGGCGGCUUACUGGGCUUUAACUGACGCUGAGGCUCGAAAGCGUGGGGAGCAAACAGGAUUAGAUACCCUGGUAGUCCACGCCGUAAACGAUGAUUACUAGGUGUGGGGGGACUGACCCCUUCCGUGCCGCAGCAAACGCAAUAAGUAAUCCACCUGGGGAGUACGACCGCAAGGUUGAAACUCAAAGGAAUUGACGGGGGCCCGCACAAGCAGUGGAGUAUGUGGAUUAAUUCGAAGCAACGCGAAGAACCUUACCAGGUCUUGACAUCGUAUGCAUAGCUCAGAGAUGAGUGAAAUCUCUUCGGAGACAUAUAGACAGGUGGUGCAUGGUUGUCGUCAGCUCGUGUCGUGAGAUGUUGGGUUAAGUCCCGCAACGAGCGCAACCCUUACUGUUAGUUGCUACGCAAGAGCACUCUAGCAGGACUGCCGUUGACAAAACGGAGGAAGGUGGGGAUGACGUCAAAUCAUCAUGCCCCUUAUGACCUGGGCCUCACACGUACUACAAUGGCUGUCAACAGAGGGAAGCAAAGCCGCGAGGUGGAGCGAACCCCUAAAAGCAGUCUUAGUUCGGAUUGUAGGCUGCAACCCGCCUACAUGAAGUCGGAAUUGCUAGUAAUCGCAGAUCAGCAUGCUGCGGUGAAUACGUUCCCGGGCCUUGUACACACCGCCCGUCACGCCAUGGGAGUCGGUAACACCCGAAGCCUGUAGUCUAACCGCAAGGAGGACGCAGUCGAAGGUGGGAUUGAUGACUGGGGUGAAGUCGUAACAAGGUA
rnacentral:rRNA from 1 species